rnacentral:rRNA from 1 species
CCAUACAACACCCAUUGUUUAAAUUGUGCAAACUGGGAGAAAUAAAAUUAAUAGUCUCAAAAUUCAAAGAAUUUGGCGGUGCUUUAGCCUAUUUAGAGGAACCUGUUUUAUAAACGACACUCCACGUAGGAUCUUUCUUAAUCUUUUGUUUAGCUAGUGUACCUUCAUUAUUGGAUAAUUUAAUUAUAAAAGUUAUUGAAAAAGAACUAAUGGUUCUAGUACAUUAGAUCACGAUGCUGCUAAUAAGUAAGUAAAAUUGGGUCACAAUAAGAUUUAUUUAUUGUGGGAGUCUCAGUAAGAAUGCCUGAAUGAAGAUGGAUUUAAUGGUAAUAAAUUAUUUAAUACGAUUUUUGACAUAAGCACUAAAGUGUGU